CCCUUAGAUGUUCUGGGCCGCACGCGCGCUACACUGACUGGUGCAACAAGUGUCGCUCCUUGGCCGAUAGGCCUGGGCAAUCUUUGAACGCCAGUCGUGAUGGGGAUAGAUUCUUGCAAUUUUUGAUCUUCAACGAGGAAUUCCUAGUAAACGCGAGUCAUCAACUCGCAUUGAUUACGUCCCUGCCCUUUGUACACACCGCCCGUCGCACCUACCGAUUGAAUGGUCCGGUGAACCCUCCGGAUCGGCCCGCGCCAACGCAAGUUGAGCAAAGGCCGAGAAGUUGGGUAAACCUUACCACUUAGAGGAAGGAGAAGUCGUAACA
rnacentral:rRNA from 1 species